AUACCUUUCUCGGCCUUUUGGCUAAGACCAAGUGUAGUAUCUGUUCUUAUCAGUUUAAUUUCUGAUACGUGGGCCAUUGGCCCACAUGAUAUUAAAUUAGUUUUUCAUUGGGGAGGGCCCAUUUUAGUAGCUUGCUACUGGGUCAUCAUGCGUCCCCCAUUCGUUGCACUACUGUUUGGGCCUGGCGCGCCUCCA
rfam:Jatropha curcas cultivar GZQX0401 scaffold436_7, whole genome shotgun sequence.